CACGCGUGUCGAAUGCAUGAGUCAGUGGGGGAAUGAAUGGAAAAGCACUGCUUGGACAGCACAAAUACAAAAACGGAUCUACAGACUACAUAACCAAAAGACUUCUCUACACACACAUCCUGAGCACCAAGGAAACUUCUGUUUGGGCUGCUGACCAUGAAAUCUACUCUGCUUAGUUGCUGUGUUCAUCUUCGUCCUCCAGUCUGGACUCUCAGUCUCCCUGACCCAGAACUCCUCGGCCCCAGCUCUGCUCAGCCCGACCUGGACCCUCGGCAACCUGGUCCGUUUCCUGUCUGAUGUUCUUUAACAUCACCCACUACCACUCUUGGCCAACUCUGGAGGUAGGGGGAGGAGAGGAAGAUCUUCUUCUGCCUUGCGGCAUGUCCCGGCAUAACAGAAAGUCAUUCUUAUAUGCUCAUCUAGGCAUUUAGACUUCUUCCAAGAUUGGGUGGUGCUUCCAUUCUCAUAAACGACCCACAUUUGCAACCUUGGAGUCAUCGUUGAAGCCCCCUUCUUGUCCAUGCCCUUAAACAGGUCUGUCUGUGCGGACCCUCUGUCCUGGCUGAACAGCAUUUGUGGGGUCCCUGUGUUUGCUC
rnacentral:lncRNA from 1 species